GCUGGACGACGUGGCGCACGCGUGUACCACUACCGGCGGCGCCGUCGAAGGGCGGCGAGGGUGAGAUUGUUCUGCGGGUACGUGCGCGUGACGUCGAUGGGAAUGUGCAGCCUGACGCGAACGGUGCUUGCUGGAACCUACGCGGAUUGUGCUUCAAUGGAGUGCAUGCGAGGAGGUGCAAUGCAGCAGC
rnacentral:SRP_RNA from 1 species